rnacentral:tRNA from 1 species
AUUUAAAUAGUUUAUUAUAGAAUAAUAAUUUGUGGGAUUAUAGGUGCUUGAAUUAGCUUUAAAUC